rnacentral:tRNA from 1 species
GGAAAGGUGGCUCAGUAGUUAAGAGUACUGGAUGUUCUACCAGAGGACCCAGGUUCAAUUCCUAGCAUCCA